CAGCUUAGAGAUCGAAGGGUUCAUUUUGGCUCACAGUUUGAGGGCACAAACUAUCAUGAUAAGUCACAGAAGCAGCUUGAAGUCACACUGAAUCUGUAGUCAGGAAGCAAAGAGAGAUGAAUGCUGGUGUCUAGCUCUCUCCUUUAACACAGUCGUUGACCUCAGCCUAGGGAAUGGUGCCACCCAUAUCAGGGCGGGUCUUCCUUCAUUGUGGAUUGGAGACCCAUCAAGUAUGGAAGACAUCCUUAUAGAACCACCAGAAAUGUGUUUCCAAAGUGAUCCUAAAUCCAGCCAAGUUACAGUGUUAAAAGCUGCCUCAAAAUCCUGCCACCAUGGCCUCUCCACCAUGAAGGGCAACACCCUCAACCUGAUGGAAAAUAAAUUGACAAAA